CAGUCGCCGCGGGAACACGUAGGGUGCGAGCGUUAAUCGGAAUUACUGGGCGUAAAGCGCGCGCAGGCGGUUAUAUAAGACAGAUGUGAAAUCCCCGGGCUCAACCUGGGACCUGCAUUUGUGACUGUAUAGCUAGAGUACGGUAGAGGGGGAUGGAAUUCCGCGUGUAGCAGUGAAGUGCGUAGAUAUGCGGAGGAACAUCGAUGGGGAAGGCAAUCCCCUGGACCUGUACUGACGCUCAUGCACGAAAGCGUGGGGAGCAAACAGGAUUAGAUACCCGCGUAGUCCCUGUCUCUUAUAC
rnacentral:rRNA from 1 species